AAAAAUAUUCUCUUCAGAUAGAAAGAAGGCACCUGUCCCAGGAAACAUAAUAAACUGGUGGUAUUUCAUCCUGACUCAACCAUCAGCUUGGGUAUGCAAUGUGUCAUCUUAGCAGCUUUUAAGUAAGAACAAAAUUGGCACUGAAAUCCAACUUAUUUCUCUUCUACCCAGGCACUACCUAGAGUCCAUUGAAAAUUGGACUUCACGGUCAACUUGCUCCUUGCUAACAACUGAACAAACAAUUGAGGCAUUUGGCAGGCCAUGAGUGAGAGCCAGAGGUCAUUUUGAGAGGCUACGUUCAGCCCUUCAAUAAAUUUUAGCAAACCACGGAGUGAUCAACAGUUGGGGUUGACCAACUGAGACACAUUGUCCCAUCUGAAGGCAUCCGGGACCAGGGAUCCCUCAGUCAACUGUCAGCCAGCCUCUAGGAGGAGAGCCAACAGGUUGACAUGUACUGGCCAGAGCCCUGUGGCAACCCCGACCAGACCAACAGAACCAGGCAGCAGCACUCACCCUGACUCAAAGUAUGGCAAGCUAAAUAGUCACGGUCACUGCCGUAUCACCAGCAGAUGGGGAAGAAACAGCACAGGCUGGUACCUGGGUCAUGUAAUACUGAGUGCAAAUAAAAAGGUUCCCAGUAUUGUUCUCAAUGGUCGACCUUCUGUAACGUCAUAAACAGAAAAGACUUCAGCAGGUUCACAGAUAAGAUAAAGAUAUACGAAUGAACAAUGGAGGCUGAACAAUGUGAUGAAAUGGGCUAAAAGUGGGUAAUUCACAACUGCCUGCAUAAAAAUUGCCAAUAACACUGAAAAUGUGCUCAACAGUAGAUUGAAACCGUAUCUACCGAAUGAUCUCAAUGAUGAAGACGGACAAUUCCAACUAUUGGUGAAGACGGGACAAGUGGAAUUUUCACACGUUGCUGAGAGUACACCAUUGGGCAACCUCUUUGGAAAACUUGCUGAAUCCUUAUAUACAAGGUCAAAUAUUUAACAUUUAUAUUUUAAUAUAAUAUUAUAUAUUAUAUAUAAUAUAAAUAUUUAAU
rnacentral:lncRNA from 12 species